GCUUCCGUUGCACAGCAGGCAGUGCGUUCGGCUGUUAACCGAAAGGUCGCUGGUUCGAACCCAGCCGGGAGCG